rnacentral:rRNA from 1 species
GAUGAACGCUGGCGGCGUGCUUAACACAUGCAAGUCGAACGGGAAUUAUUUUAUUGAAACUUCGGUCGAUUUAAUUUAAUUCUAGUGGCGGACGGGUGAGUAACGCGUGGGUAACCUGCCUUAUACAGGGGGAUAACAGUCAGAAAUGGCUGCUAAUACCGCAUAAGCGCACAGAGCUGCAUGGCUCAGUGUGAAAAACUCCGGUGGUAUAAGAUGGACCCGCGUUGGAUUAGCUGGUUGGUGGGGUAACGGCCCACCAAGGCGACGAUCCAUAGCCGGCCUGAGAGGGUGAACGGCCACAUUGGGACUGAGACACGGCCCAGACUCCUACGGGAGGCAGCAGUGGGGAAUACUGCACAAUGGGGGAAACCCUGAUGCAGCGACGCCGCGUGAAGGAAGAAGUAUCUCGGUAUGUAAACUUCUAUCAGCAGGGAAGAUAGUGACGGUACCUGACUAAGAAGCCCCGGCUAACUACGUG